GGCUCGAACUCACAAACUGUGAGAUCAUGACCUGAGCCGAAGUCAGUCGCUUAACCGACUGAGCCACCCAGGAGCCCCAAUAUUAUCUUAAUAUUACAUUUUAACUUAGUAAAUAUUCUUACUAAAGUUAUAUUUUUAGCACAUGUGAUUCACAAGCAUUAGAAAUAGUGUGGCAUCCAGAUGUUUUUAAUGUUUAUUUAUUUGAGAGAGAGAGCACGAGCGAGGGAGGGGUAGAAAGAGGGAGAGAGAGAAUCCCAAGCAGGCCCCACGCUCUCAGCAUGGAGCCCAAAGGGGGCUCAAACUCAUGAACCGUGAGAUCACCACCUGAACUGAGAUUGAGUCAUACUCUUAAGCGACUGAGCCACCAAGGCACCCCCAGAUUUUUUUUUAUUACAUGUGAUUUUUAGGUCUGUCCAGAUAAGUAAAUAUUACGAUUUCUGUGUAGUGAGACUGGUUACUCAUAUAACUAUAGCAGUUGUAGUCAACAGUACUUUCGACUCUGAGAAAGUGUGAAAAAGUAGGGAGGGAGCAGCAGUGCUAAGGGCAGGGGCUAGAUAAACAAAACUGGGAAAAUGCCAGUUACAGCAUUAGCAGGUUUACAUGUUUCCUGCUCUUAUCCAUUCCUCUAAAGGCCGUGGCAUGACCAUGGUCUUCCGGAGGAAAAGAGUAGCCUGACCAAUGCUGGGUAGAAGGAUAACCAGAACAUGUAAGGAAGAAGCUUAUCACAGGUCACUUGGUGAUGCUGCUGGGAUAGGAACGGGGCGGAAUGUCUGGGUUUCACAGUGAGGUCUGUGGGGUCCAUGACCCACAGAUGUGUAACAGCAUCCCAAAGCGCAGAGGGUGCGGCUGAAGAGUUACACACCUGAGUGACAAGUUCAACCAAAUCCUCGUCCAUGUUUGCAUAAUAGAGAUACCAUAAUGGGGAGGGAGAGCGAGAAGGCAGCUAAAGCCAUCAGAAAGAUUUCGUCCUUGAAUUCGUGCUUGGGGGAGGCUGAUGGUUCUGAUUCUCCUGGCAUUCUCACUGGGGAAGUACUCCAGAGGCCUCAUUAUUUCAUUAAUUCUAACAAUGCCCUUGUGGCAUAGGUAAGGUGGCGCAUAUUAUUAGGAACAAUCUUGAUAAUGGGACAUGAAUGAAUCCAUUCAGAACGUUCUUUUACUGGAGGGCAGCACCUCUGGUGGUUCUGAGAGAUUUGUGUCCUUGGCCGAGAUUUUUGCUUCUCUCCCGUCCGGAGCCCUACUCUGGGUUGUGCUCCUGGAUGGGCAGAGUUCAUAAAUCUCUGGGGAGGGGGAGGGGGCAGUCCUGCCAACCGAGGCAGCUUGCAGUGUAGUCGAUCCGUACAGACAGCUGCCUCUGAGAGGAGGCACGGGUGAACAGUGAGCACGCCCUGGGAUUUUUGCACUGCUGCUCCGUGCACAGAGUGGGGCGAUAUUCAGAAUGUGUUGUAUUGAAAAAAUCACCCCAUUCAACAGGGGUAAGAUAAGGACAUAUUUAUCUCACUUCCCCAUCUGAGGAUCUGUCUUGUUAGUUACAAGUUGCUUGUUAAGAGUUUCUAACCCAAUUUUAUUGAGAUAAAAUUUACAUACAACAAGUGCACCGAUUUUAAGUGUGCAGUUUGAGCCUUGACAAAUGUAUGCACUCGUGUAGCCACCACCCCAUUGAGGAUACAGACUAUUUCCACCAUCCUGAAAUGUUCUCUUGUGUCCUUUCCUACCCUGUCUUGUGUAAGUUUAAGCCAGGACAACCAAAGAGCCAAAGUGAUUGGUAAACAACAGUUUAAUGGAAGCCUUCCAUCGACUUAGUCUUUUUCGUUCUCUCCAGCUCAUGAAAAGGGAAUUUAUACUUACCUGGAAAAAAACUGUUAAAACGCAGCAAAAAUAAACCUCAAGAAUGAAGUGUGGGACAAUUCUUCGGAGGCUCCCUCCACACCCCCUUUUGAUGAGUUCUCGUUAUUGUUAAAGCAAAAGGUCCAUCAAAGUAGUAAGUGUGGGGCAGGCCACUGUUUCACUACAGACUGGAACUGAACUAACAGGCAACAGAAGAGAGAGCACCAGAGACAAGAUUCUGCAAACUUACAGCUCUGUGUUUCUUCCUGAGAACUCCCAGAUUAUACAUGAAGAUGCCUGUGAAGGGAGAAGACAGGGUGCCUAAACCCAAGAAGAGGUGGGACUGACUUCUAUUUUGACAUGCUGGAAACCCAGACAGACUCCUUUCUUUUUCAACUUCUCAUGGACACCAUAAAGAACAGCACGCUAGGCCAGGGCAUUCUGGACCUACAGGAUGAUGCACGGCAUUCCCACCACAGAAGAAAAAGACAGGGAAUGACAUCAUAGCAUCAGAACUCCAUGGUGACUGGUGGUAAUCAGAAGCAAUAGGUUGGCCGUCUUUCUGCUUUACCACAGCUUCUGUUCCGUCAUUUUCUUUGAGGCUGUUUGCUCACAUGAAACUGCUGACCAGGAGACUUCAAAUUAUGCCAAAAUAUUUAUAAACGGUCAUCCCCUUGGGAAAGAGGGAGAGGGAGAAUAUUGCUUGUUUUAAAAGAAACCUUAAUGCAGGGCAGGUGAAUGGCUAAUUUCUCCAUUUAUCUUUUUAACGCGAAGAGGGGGAAAAAAAAGCCUGCUUCCCCCCGAUCUAAAGUCUUCGCAGUGGCUACCUCACAUGUCACUUCUCACACAGCCUUAAGCCUUUCAAACUGGCAGUUCGGCAACCCUCAGGUUGAUAGUGCAGAGGUGCUAAGUGCAUUUGAUUGGUAUCAUUACUGGUCUCUAGUAAUUGAUUACUGUCCAUGGUGAAAUAUUCAGGGCAAGCACACAGCCAAUAGCAAUCACUUAAUCCAUCAUGGCUGUUUGUUUCUCAUCUCCUGAGACCUAUCAGCCACAUGCUAUCCGACCCCACCAGGCAAAUUGCUGAUGGCUGCUUUGUGUGUACAGUUUACUGUGUGUUUACUGCAUUUCCUGUGUUCUCUCAGACCGCCAGCUUUGCUGAACGGAGCAGCGCAGGGGAGGUUCUUGCUUUGCAAUGUCAAAUUCGCUCUGCGGUUAACCUCUCUGGCCCUCUUUUCAUGGAGAUUCGUGAUUCGUUGGCAUUGGUUUUUGUUGCUUUAAAAAAAAAAGUCGAAUGGCAUAGUGGUUGUAUUAGGAAUAUUAAUUGUAAGACUUGAGAUAGGUUGAUUGGAAUAAGAUCCUGGAGGGUUGUUUGUAAUGCAGAUUUUUUAGAAACAAGAAGUGGGAGAAUAAUGAAUAACAACCAGAACUAAUCAGUUGUGUGCGUGUGUGCGUGUGUGUGUUUAAUCCACUGAUGAUGACUAAAAGUCGUUAUUAAAAAAAAAAAAGUAGACAUCAGUGGAUACACAGUUUUCUCAGCUUCCUUCCAAGAUGUUUUCUCCUUGGAUCUUGGCGACUGUGCCUGUCCCUGAUAGUACACUAAGGAACUUUGAUACUCAAUGCAAGGGGACCCAAGAGAAGGAGAAGGAGGUCAGCCGAGAGACGAAUAAAUAAGUGACUGUUACAUGUAAUAUACUCAGAUGACAAGAGAUAAUAUUGUCUGUCACCAAAAGCAGAAAAAGCAGUUUGUACCUGGCCAUCUAUGGGGGGAAGAUGAGAGCCAUGGACGAAAGUGUUGGUCUGCUGCCCUGCUCCUCCUGAUACCGCUUUCGGUAGAGCUGGAGGAACAACAUGAUUGGUGCUAAUAGGUCCACCAGUGAACUUGGGAAGCCAGCGGGAAUGAGACUGAGAAGAGUAGGAGAAAGUAUCAUAUUAGAGAUGGCAAGGAGAUCUGGUCUAUUUGCGUAGCCCAUCUUUAAGAGCUUGUAUUCCAAAAUUUACAGAAAGAAAUUGUUGUGAGGGUCUCAGUGGAGACCUUUGUUGCCUCUUUGGGUGUUUUUUCUUCGUUUCUUGCAUCCUCCUUGGCAUCUGUGGCACAUGGUGGAAGUCUAGCUAAUUCCCCACAAGCCAGGGCAAAUAUGGACAUGUGGGUCCUGCCCCGAGAUGAGGCUUUCAGUGGGCACCUACCUACAUGUGCUGAUUUCUAGAGAGCACAGAAUCUUAAUCCUUAUGCAUAUGCAUUCUUCAUUUGGGGCUUCUUAGCGAAACGACAUAGACAGCUGGUUUAAGUGAUUCCCAAGUUAAUUGGGCAUGUUUCACUGUUGAUCACAAUCCAUUUUAGCUCAGAUAAACAGUUUAAGCACAUCUAAAAGCACUGACCUUUUAUUGCAUGCUACGAGACUUAAACUGUUGCGGAGUAUUGGCUCAUCCUUCAGCCUGUUACCCAACAUGUGAUGUUUGGGGAUCUUUGAAAUGUGAUCUUUCCUUCUCCAGAGCUCUGCUCCGUGGUAAGAUUCCCCUUGGUGUUACAGCCCUCUUCUCACACUCGAGUCAGUCACAUUGAGAACUAAAAUAGCUGCCAGUAAGUUCAGCUCUAUUGCUGGAAAUGUCUAGACCUAGCCUGUAGUAUGCUGGUACCUGUCACUCUUCUGUACUUAUUUACCACUCAGCAAUGUUGAACAGUGUUGGCCAUCACCUCUCUAUAAAAACAUUGGUGUUCAUGCUGCUGAAAAAGCUCCAUAUUGUGGGAUUCUAUUUUUAUGACAUUCUGUAAAAGGCAAAACUACAGAGAUAAACAGAACAGUGGCUGCCAGGUAUUGGAGGGAACGGGAGGGUUGAAUAGGUGAAGCACAGGGGAGUUUUUAGGGUGGUGAAACUAUUCUUUAUGAUACUACAAUGAUGAAACAUGACACUGCGUUUAUCAAAACUGAUUGAACUUUACGGUACAAAGCGUGAACCUUACUGUAUACAAACUUUAAAAAUGUAUUUUUGGGGAGUCAGAAGAUACUAGAUAGAAUGCAAAUUUUGACAGAGAAAUCUACUACAUAUAUAUGAAAUAGCUUCAUUGAAGAGAGUGGGGAACAAAGGUGCUGACCUAUGUGGCUUUAGAAAUAAGUAGGGCCUGCAAAACUCAAGGCAAAAGGAGCCAUACAUAAGCACUGUUCUCUAAUUGAUAGUUUUUUUUCCUGUGGAAGGUACAGAUGAACAAUUCUGAAACAACUGUAAUGGAUAUUGAAAUUGAACAACCUCGUAAAUGGAUGGUGGAUUGUGGGGGGCAGUUUUCUAACUGUUGAGAAGUGGGGUGUUAACGGCAAAACAAGGAGAGAAGGCUAGAAUGAUCCUUCGGGUAAUCGACUAGCAUUGGAGACAUUGAUUUCAACUCCUGUUCAUAAUUCAUGUGUUGAAAUCCCAAUCCCCCAUUCCUCAGAAUAGAACAAGAUUUGGAGAUAAGGUCCCUGAGUAAGUUAAAAUGAGGCCAUGAGGGUAGGGUCCUAAACCACUAUGACUGCGGUUCCUGUAAGAAAAGGAAGAGGCACCAGGGGUACACACGCACAAGAAACAACUGUGUGAGAAGACAGCAAGAGAGAAUAGCCAGAUAUCUGCAUGCCAGGGAAAGGGGCCUCAGAAGAACCCAGCCCUUAAUGACAUUGAUCUUGGACCUCCAGCCUCCAGACCUGUGAGAAAUUACAUUUCCAUUGUUUAAGCCACUCAGUCUGUGGUAUUUUGCUCCAGCAGCCCGAGCAAACAAAUGCACAAUUCUAAAAUAAAAGGUUAUUUAAAAAAAACAA